rnacentral:rRNA from 1 species
CCUACGGGUGGCAGCAGUGAGGAAUAUUGGUCAAUGGGCGAAAGCCUGAACCAGCCAAGUCGCGUGAGGGAUGACGGUCCUAUGGAUUGUAAACCUCUUUUGUCGGGGAGCAAAAAGCCCUAGUGAGGGCACAAGUGAGAGUACCCGAAGAAAAAGCAUCGGCUAACUCCGUGCCAGCAGCCGCGGUAAUACGGAGGAUGCGAGCGUUAUCCGGAUUUAUUGGGUUUAAAGGGUGCGUAGGCGGACUGGAAAGUCAGCGGUAAAAUCGCGGGGCUCAACCUCGUCCCGCCGUUGAAACUGUCGGUCUUGAGUGUGCGAGAAGUAUGCGGAAUGCGUGGUGUAGCGGUGAAAUGCAUAGAUAUCACGCAGAACUCCGAUUGCGAAGGCAGCAUACCGGCGCGCAACUGACGCUCAUGCACGAAAGCGUGGGGAUCGAACAGGAUUAGAUACCCGGGUAGUC